rnacentral:lncRNA from 1 species
AGAUAAUAGAGUUAUAAUAGAUAUUACAAUUACAAUAGAGUUAAGUGUUUCAAUUACAAUAGAGGUAAAAGUGUUUUACAAUUUUUUUUGUUGAACAAUAUUGGAAAUAUCUAAAGUCUUACCUUUUGGUCGAGGUGUCGAAAUCAAAGUAGUAUCUUCUUCCCAAUAAUUUCUCGAUAAUGGAAUAAGUUGGUUCAACUGAGAAGAAACAAGAACAUUACUCGAUGAUGGACGAUUCGGGUCGUUGCUUGUAGCAUUAGCCUGAAAAUAAAUGAAAAUAUUCAAAAAUUAAUAAAUUUAAAAACUAAUUUAAAAACAUUUAUUAAACUCACAUGUAUAUUGUCAAUUAACCGUUGUUCCAUCAUUUUAAAUCGUUUUUCGUUUUCUAUUUCGAACGCUUCCAUUCGUUUUUCAACGGCUUUGGAAACUGCCAAUUCAAAUUCUUCAGUGUUGUUUCAAAUAAAUUGUUCAUCAAUCAAUGGUUCCAAAUAAACGUCAAUUUCUUUUUUUGGACCUUUAGGACCGGGAAUCAACAUAGUUAAGAACAUAAA